rnacentral:rRNA from 1 species
UACAGAGGUCCCGAGCGUUGUUCGGAUUCAUUGGGCGUAAAGGGUGCGUAGGCGGCGGGGUAAGUCUGAUGUGAAAUCCUGGGGCUCAACCCCAGAACUGCAUUGGAUACUGCCUUGCUAGAGUACUGGAGAGGAAACUGGAAUUUACGGUGUAGCAGUGAAAUGCGUAGAGAUCGUAAGGAAGACCAGUGGCGAAGGCGAGUUUCUGGACAGUAACUGACGCUGAGGAGCGAAAGCAUGGGGAGCGAACAGG